rnacentral:rRNA from 1 species
CAGCACCUCAAGUGGUCAGGAUGAUUAUUGGGCCUAAAGCAUCCGUAGCCGGCGCUGUAAGUUUUCGGUUAAAUCUGUACGCUCAACGUACAGGCUGCCGGGAAUACUGCAGCGCUAGGGAGUGGGAGAGGUAGACGGUACUCGGUAGGAAAGGGUAAAAUCCUUUGAUCUAUUGAUGACCACCUGUGGCGAAGGCGGUCUACCAGAACACGUCCGACGGUGAGGGAUGAAAGCUGGGGGAGCAAAACGGAUUAGAUACCCGAGUAGUCC